rnacentral:rRNA from 1 species
UAGCAUAUCAAUAAGCGGAAGGAAAAGAAACCCAACAGGGAUUGCCCUAGUAACGGCGAGUGAAGCGGCAACAGCUCAAAUUUGAAAUCUGGCCUCACGGUCCGAAUUGUAAUUUGUAGAGGAUGUUUCUGGCGACGUGUCUUCCGAGUUCCCUGGAACGGGACGCCAUAGAGGGUGAGAGCCCCGUCCGGUCGUACACCUAGCCUCUGUGAAACUCCUUCGACGAGUCGAGUAGUUUGGGAAUGCUGCUCUAAAUGGGAGGUAUACGUCUUCUAAAGCUAAAUACCGGCCAGAGACCGAUAGCGCACAAGUAGAGUGAUCGAAAGAUGAAAAGCACUUUGAAAAGAGGGUUAAAUAGUACGUGAAAUUGCUGAAAGGGAAGCGCUUAUGACCAGACUUGGGCUCGGUGAAUCAUCCGGCGUUCUCGCCGGUGCACUUUGCCGUCCCAGGCCAGCAUCAGUUCGCGCCGGGGGAUAAAGGUUUCGGGAAUGUAGCUCCCUCGGGAGUGUUAUAGCCCGUUGCGUAAUACCCUGGCGUGGACUGAGGUCCGCGCUCUGCAAGGAUGCUGGCGUAAUGGUCAUCAGUGACCCGUCUUGAAACACGGACCAAGGAGUCGUCUUCGUAUGCGAGUGUUCGGGUGUCAAACCCCUACGCGUAAUGAAAGUGAACGUAGGAGAGAGCUUCGGCGCAUCUCCGACCGAUCCUGAUGUUCUCGGAUGGAUUUGAGUAAGAGCAUACGGGGCCGGACCCGAAAGAAGGUGAACUAUGCCUGUAUAGGGUGAAGCCAGAGGAAACUCUGGUGGAGGCUCGCAGCGGUUCUGACGUGCAAAUCGAUCGUCAAAUAUGGGCAUGGGGGGCGAAAGACUAAUCGAACCUUCUAGUAGCUGGGUUCCGCCG